CAAGUCGAACGAUUAAAGCUCUCUUCGGAGAGUGUAUAGAGUGGCGCACGGGUGAGUAACACGUAAGUAAUCUACCUUCGAGUGGGGAAUAACAACCGGAAACGGUUGCUAAUACCGCAUAAUGCAGCGGCAUCGUAAGAUGACAGUUGUUAAAGGAGCAAUUCGCUUGAAGAGGAGCUUGCGGCAGAUUAGCUAGUUGGUAAGGUAAUGGCUUACCAAGGCUACGAUCUGUAACCGGUCUAAGAGGACGGUCGGUCACACUGACACUGAAUAACGGGUCAGACUCCUACGGGAGGCAGCAGUCGGGAAUUUUGGGCAAUGGGGGAAACCCUGACCCAGCAACGCCGCGUGAAGGAUGAAGUAUUUCGGUAUGUAAACUUCGAAAGAAUAGGAAGAAUAAAUGACGGUACUAUUUAUAAGGUCCGGCUAACUACGUGCCAGCAGCCGCGGUAAUACGUAGGGACCAAGCGUUGUUCGGAUUUACUGGGCGUAAAGGGCGCGUAGGCGGCAUGACAAGUCACUUGUGAAAUCUCCGGGCUUAACUCGGAACGGUCAAGUGAUACUGUCGCGCUAGAGUGCGGAAGGGGCAAUCGGAAUUCUUGGUGUAGCGGUGAAAUGCGUAGAUAUCAAGAGGAACACCUGAGGUGAAGACGGGUUGCUGGGCCGACACUGACGCUGAUGCGCGAAAGCCAGGGGAGCAAACGGGAUUAGAUACCCCGGUAGUCCUGGCCCUAAACGAUGAAUACUUGGUGUCUGGAGUCUUUAUAGCUCCGGGUGCCGUCGCUAACGUUUUAAGUAUUCCGCCUGGGGAGUACGCUCGCAAGAGUGAAACUCAAAGGGAAUUGACGGGGACCCGCACAA
rnacentral:rRNA from 1 species